AGAGAGAGAGAGAGAGAGAGAGAGCGAGAGCGAGAGGAAAUGACAAAAGAUGGUUUAUACUGCUUUUAGUUUUUUAUUUUUUAAACUAUUCUUUUAUUUCUGAACUAUUUGUAAUCACGUUCAGAUGUAACGUUUCUUUGUCAAUUUUAAUUAGUUUCUGUACCUUUGUACUUUAUGUAUUUUUUAUGCUCACUGAUAAAUAAAAUGAAUACAUAUCUAUAUGCAAAUUUUAAUAAG